rnacentral:rRNA from 1 species
CCUACGGGAGGCAGCAGUGGGGAAUAUUGGGCAAUGGGCGAAAGCCUGACCCAGCAAUGCCGCGUGAGUGAAUAAGGUCUUAGGAGUGUAAAAUUCUUUCCUAUGGGAAGAAAAAAAUGACGGUACCAUAGGAGGAAGCUCCGGCUAACUACGUGCCAGCAGCCGCGGUAAUACGUAGGGGGCGAGCGGUGUCCGGAAUUACUGGGCGUAAAGGGAGCGGAGGCGGGACUACAAGUCUCACGUGAAAUACCCGGGCUUAACUUGGGGGUUGCCUGGGACACUGUAGAGCUUGAGUACAGGAGAGGCAAGCGGAAUUCGUAGUGUAGCGGUGAAAUGCAUAGAUAUUAGGAGGAACACCAGUGGCGAAGGCGGCUUGCUGGACUAAAACUGACGCUGAGGCUCGAAAGCGUGGGGAGCAAACAGGAUUAGAUACCCGGGUAGUC